UGGCGGCCGAGUGCUGUGCUCUGUGUGUC
rnacentral:piRNA from 1 species